UGUUGACCUGGCAGAUGCCCUAGAUGGGCUGUGGACCAUCCCUUGUGCUCUGGGGAGAUGCUUGGGCUCCACCUGUCUGAAAUGGGCAUCGUUGUUUUUAAGCUUCAGACAUGGCAUUAGUUCUGUGAAAAUCCCCCAGUGCCUUUCUUCUGAAAAUGUUUAAAGGGUUCAUGGGACAUGCACAGGUAUCACAGCCCUGACCCCGCACCCACCGAACUGAGAAAAGAGGCCGAUCCUUGACUCCGAGGGCAGCGCUUCCUGGCAAAACCAGGUUUCUAGAACCCAGAAAAGUAGUUUGCCACAGGAAAUAGCAGAGCCAGAUGAAUUUGGGAGAAGGUUAUCUGGCUUCCGUCUCCCUUGGACCAUGCUAGUUGUUUAAAAUCCAUGAGAGUUGAACUUAAAUUUGAUGGGGGGAAAAUCCUGCCAGCAAGGGCGUUUACCACGUCUAGAAACAAAAUCCACACAGGUGCAUCCGCACUCUCGUAAGAGUGGUAUCUGAGCCACUGCUGCUUCCUUGCAAAGUUUAGAGAUUUGCAAUGACUACACCCCAGCACCAGGAGCUGACUCUCCUGCUCUCACCGUCCCCUCGAUCCCUAACCUCCCGAUCUGCAUUUCCCGUUUGCCUUGCCUGCGGGUGCCUGGCACUAACAAUUUAAAUCUAGAACUUCACUCAGUGCUCUGCCGCGCAGAUGGAAUUCUCUAGCACUGUGAUUUAAAAACAGCAAAUAGGUUCUGCAUUCUAAUUGUAGGACGCUCUUUUCACUAUGGUGGGAUCAUUGCCUUGGCCAUGCCUGCUUAGGUGCAAUCAGGAAGGGCUUCCAGCGGGAAGCGUGGAACGUGAACGUGCAGUGCGGCUGAUCCUGCAAAUCCUCAUCUUCCCGGGUGCCUUCGCCAGACGCAGCACCACUGGCUCAUUUUCCCCUGUGGGCAGAGGGCCAGCCUGACAGAUGGCGAGGCGGGCCAGCAGCUGCCCAGAGAUGGAGACUUGUUUCUGGAGAGUUGCACUGGGAAAGGGCAGGCUGCCCGGCUUCAGUGAACUAAACCGUAAUUCGAUCUGAGCCCCUCUGCGGAGGUUGGAGGAGGCUCAGCUAAAGUACCUUGUCACUAACUAAACGUGUGAAUAAAGAGGUUGGAGGCAUUCCGAUUCA
rnacentral:lncRNA from 1 species